GAGGGGACACGAGAGGCCCUGUCCUCUUCCCGUGCCAGCUUGCUCAGGCCCUCAGUCCCAGACGGGCUUUUCCCAGAGAGCUAAAAUGGCUUUUUUUUUCUCUCGCCUGGGGUCAAAGGAGAAGGGCCAGAGAAUGUCGUCCCAGCCAGCAGGGAACCAGACCUCCCCCGGGGCCACAGAGGACUACUCCUAUGGCAGCUGGUACAUCGAUGAGCCCCAGGGGGGCGAGGAGCUCCAGCCAGAGGGGGGGGCCUGACGCAGGCCUGAGCCAGCCUUCAUUUGCUCUGCAGGGAAGUGCCCUCCUGCCACACCAGCAUACCACCCGGCCUGUACCACGCCUGCCUGGCCUCGCUGUCAAUCCUUGUGCUGCUGCUCCUGGCCAUGCUGGUGAGGCGCCGCCAGCUCUGGCCUGACUGUGUGCGUGGCAGGCCCGGCCUGCCCAGAAAGUGGGACUGACUCCACCUCCUUGAUUUAUGGAAUACAGCUGGGAGGUAAUGGGGGUGCAGGGGCUGAGCAACUCCCUCCUGCCCUGUCCUUGCCUCUGUGCUAGCCCUGUGGAUUUCUUGGCUGGGGACAGGCCCCGGGCAGUGCCUGCUGCUGUUUUCAUGGUCCUCCUGAGCUCCCUGUGUUUGCUGCUCCCCGACGAGGACGCAUUGCCCUUCCUGACUCUCGCCUCAGCACCCAGCCAAGAUGGGAAAACUGAGGCUCCAAGAGGGGCCUGGAAGAUACUGGGACUGUUCUAUUAUGCUGCCCUCUACUA
rnacentral:lncRNA from 1 species